ACCAACCCAACCCCAUAUUUCUCUCUUGAUUUCUUCCCUCUUUCCCUCCUUUUCUCUCCAAACCCUUCCUUCCUUUCUUCCCAGUUCAUGGAAACUUCCCACUUCCACUUCCAGUCCCAAAUCUCGCAUUUCCCUUCUGAAUUCAUGACCCCUUUCUCCACCAAACUCGCCCAACCAUUCCUCCUCCGCUUCUCCUCUACCGUAGCCACCACUUUCAAGCUCUUCUCCACUGCCACCACUCUUACCCCUUCUGUAGACCAUGCUGUAGUUAUAACUCCUGACCAGCUUAUCCCGCCGCCCCGGCGAAAAAGCUCAAGAGGGAAGAAGGGGAAUAAGUUGAUUACAGAGGCUCAACUUAGACAGAAUUGGUUGGAUUCCCUCUCCUGCCCUUUCCCUGAGAAAAUUGAUUAUAAUAGUAGUAGUAAUAGUAAUUGUUCUAGUGAUCUUCUGAACUUCCAUGGCAAUGGGAGUCCGAAUUUGGGUUCCGAAUGGGUUAUUGGAGUUGACCCUGAUGCUUCCGGAGCCUUGGCUCUCUUGAAACCGGAUCAUUCUGCACAGGUUUUUGAUUCCCCUCACUUGAAAGUACCAAUUGGCAGGAGAUUGCGGAAGCGUUUAGACACAAAGUCUAUUGUACAGUUGCUUAAUAGUUUUAAUGCUCCAAUGGGAACUACUGCCUAUAUAGAGCAAUCAAUUCCAUACCCAAAAGAUGGUAAGCAGGGAUGGUGGAGCGGAGGAUUUGGAUAUGGACUGUGGAUUGGGAUUUUGGUUGCCUCUGGGUUUUCUGUUAUUCCAGUGCCAUCAGCUGUGUGGAAGAAUGAGUUCAGGCUGUCAGGAAGCAGUUCAACUAAGUUAUGGCUGCAGAAGUAAACGGGUGAAGUAAAAGUGACUCAGUCAUGUGGAGAAAGCAAAUGAGGUCAGGAAACAAUGGACAAAGAUGGUGAAUGGAAUGAUAAACAUCUGAAUAUGAUGGUGUUGGCUGGAAAUUCUGUGUGAUGGGGGAGGGUGAGGAUCUAUGCAAGGAUGAUAGCAGGGAAGCUGCGUCCAUGAUGUUUCCCUCUUUGAGUUCUCAGUUAAAGAGGAAGAAAGAUCAUGGUCGAGCAGAGGCAUUGCUUAUUGCUGCUUAUGGAAAAAGCCUGAAAAUGCGUCUUUAUGAUUCAUGUUUGGUGGAUAAUUAACUCCUCAAAACUGGGAUUAAGAAAUCUCAUCUUUCAUUUGCAAGCUUGAGCACUUAGCUUCUCGAUGUAAGACGAGCCUUAUCCAUGAGGAGCCAAGUAAAAGAAAUUGCUGAUUGAUCGAACUACUAAGAGAUCUCUUUGGUUUUAAAGUUCAAUGAGAUCGAUUCUUGGAGAUGGGAGCAAUUGCUAUGGUACUAACAUCAGUUCUUUUUAGGGGUAACAGUCAAUUCUUUUGGUGCUUUGCUGUAUUGUGGGUAUAGGAUUCUCAACCUCUUAUCCUUCUGAUAGUAGAAUUUCUAAUCUUGGUGUCCCUAGCAAAAAGACUAUAAUGUUUAAAGCUGAUUAGUAGAAUCUUUGAAGAAAAUUAUAUGCUUUCCAGGAUAAAAUGUCACUUCCACGAUUUUAUCCAGAAUAUCCCCUCUGACAAAAAGUCGCAUAUUAUUUACCCCAUAUGCAUGGAUGAAACUUCAACAUGAGACAUAA